AUAACUUUCUUAGCCUUUUGGCAAAGAUAAAAUAUAAUAUUUGUUCUUAUCUGUUUAAUAUCUGAUAUGUGUACCAUACGUUCACUUUGAUAUUAAAAUUAUUCUUUAUGGGUAUAAACUAUGAUUGUGUGAUGACGCAGCGCACGAGCAUUGUACUAGUGGUGCUCAACACGUGGCAACCAGC
rnacentral:snRNA from 1 species